rnacentral:rRNA from 1 species
AUUGAACGCUGGCGGCAGGCUUAACACAUGCAAGUCGAGCGGGGUGAUGGUGCUUGCACUAUCACUUAGCGGCGGACGGGUGAGUAAUGCUUAGGAAUCUGCCUAUUAGUGGGGGACAACAUCUCGAAAGGGAUGCUAAUACCGCAUACGUCCUACGGGAGAAAGCAGGGGAUCACUUGUGACCUUGCGCUAAUAGAUGAGCCUAAGUCGGAUUAGCUGGUUGGUGGGGUAAAGGCCUACCAAGGCGACGAUCUGUAGCGGGUCUGAGAGGAUGAUCGGCCACACUGGGACUGAGACACGGCCCAGACUCCUACGGGAGGCAGCAGUGGGGAAUAUUGGACAAUGGGGGGAACCCUGAUCCAGCCAUGCCGCGUGUGUGAAGAAGGCCUUAUGGUUGUAAAGCACUUUAAGCGAGGAGGAGGCUCUUUUGGUUAAUACCCAAGAUGAGUGGACGUUACUCGCAGAAUAAGCACCGGCUAACUCUGUGCCAGCCGCCGCAGUAA